UAUGAACGGCUUUCCCGCUGUUACCAGUUGGUCCCGUUAGCUCGCCAUGUUUGUCAGUGGAGAUGCAGAGAGUCGUUGACCAUGACUACGGUGCUCGAGUCUGGUGAAGAACGGUUUCAGAAAGCAGGACAAUCUACCCUGGGAGAGGCCUACUUUCUGCAGGCAAAAAUGCUUCAAAUCAAUGGACCUUUCCACUUCCAGAACCACCUUGCUUGGAACAACCACGCUCACCUAGAAUUCGGGUUUUCACCUUUAUUGACAGGACAGUGGAGAUUAACAGACAGGAAAGUGUGGGGAGCAGAGAGAGGGGAAGGAUCGGCAAAGGACCUCAAGCCAGGAAUCGAACUCAGGUCGCAGCAAGCACCUGGGUGCUAUAUGUCGACGCACCAACCACUAGGCUAUUGGCGCCAACAUACUAAUUUCUUAUUAAUACCUUUUGUAAUUAUUAUAAUUAUUUAAUAAUAUAC